AAAUAGUAUGGACAAUCCUCAAAAAUCUAAAAAUAGAACUACCAUAUGAUCCAACGAUCCCACUGUUGGGUAUUUAUCCUAAGGAAGGAAAAUCAGUAUAAUGAAGAGAUAUCUGCACCCCUAUUUUUAUUGCAGCACUAUUCACAAUAGCCAAUAUAUGGAAUCUACCUAAGUGUAUGUCAAUACUAGAUAUAGGUGUGGAAUGGGUAAAGAAAUUUACACACACACACAUACUGGAUUAUUCAGCCUUAAAAAAGGAUGAGAUCCUGUCAUAUGCAUCAAAGGCAGGCCCAAAGAAAUAAAUACCAUGUGUUCUCAUAUGCGGGAGGGAAAAAACUUGAGCACAUGGAAGCAGAGAAUAGAAUUGUGGUUAUUAGAGGCUGGGAAAGGUAGUGGGGAGGAGAGGAUAAGGAGGCAUUUGUUAACAGAUACAAAAUUAUAGUUAGGAGGAAUAAAUUCUAGCAUCAUAUAGCACUGUAGUGUGACUAUAGAUAACAAUAAUUUAUUGUAUAUUUUCAAAUAGCUAGAAGAGAGAACUUUUUUUCCUUUUUGAGACAGAGUCUCACUUACUGUGAUACCCAGUGUGGAGUGCACUGGCACAGCUCACUGCAACCUCUACCUCCCAGGUUCAAGUGAUUCUUCUACCUCAGCCUCCCAAAUAGCUGGGAUUAUAGGUAUGCACAAACACACCUGGCUAGUUUUUUUUGUGUGUGUUUUUGUUUGUAUUUUUAGUAGAGAUGGGGUUUCACCAUGUCGGCUAGGCUCAUCUCGACUUCCUGACCUCAAGUGAUCCAUCUGCCUCAGCCUCCCCACAGUGCUGGGAUUACAAGUGUGAAACACCAUGCCAGGACAGGUGUGAGACACUGUGCCUUCCUUGUGCCCGACCUGGAAGAGAGAAUUUUGAAUGUUGCCACCACAAAGAAAUGAUAAAAGCUAUGAUAAUCAUGUCAGAAGCUUUGCUGGGACAUCUCCUCCAAUGCCAUCAUCUUUCCCACUCUGGGACUCGGGUAGUCAGAGCUACUGCCUACCAUUUGGGACACCCCUGGUUGCUGUGGCCAAAGGGAAAAGAAGAGAGCUAUGAAAAGUCACAUACCAACAAUUAAAUACUUGAUGCAGAAGU
rnacentral:lncRNA from 1 species